UUGGUAGGAAAAGAGAAAAGAGAAAAACAACAAAUAAAGCUUAAGGAAUUUUAAUUUAUCAUGCGAAAAAGUUAUUUAUUCCAACACAUAACAAUUAAAUACUUGAGUAGUAGAGUUUAGUAUUUUACUAUAAGUUACAGUUGGUCACAGUUUCUGAUAAGAGCUUCAUAUUCUGUGACUGUAUAUAUUCCCUGAUAGUCAUAAUCUUUGUGGUCAAAUGUUACUUUUGAUUAUUUUUUUAAAAUUUUCUUUAUUUCUCCUUUUGCGUUUGUUUCCGCCGCCGCCCUACAAAGGUUACAUUUGUGUUAAAAUGCAACAGCUCCUCUUAUUGUCACAGAUUAUGGUGUAACACCGGCCAGUUUACUGUUCUCACUGAGUCAGAAUCUGACCAGACUCCAACAGAACCGAACCAAGUGGAGCUGGGUUAUUGUUUUCUACCAUUUUUAUUUGUCUUUGUCCUGUCUUUGCUGUGGACACUUGGACAUAAACGUCUCCAGUCUCUGGUCUCUGUCUCUUGUUGUUGAACACAAAAGGAAAUGGUGGGCAUGAGCCCCAACAGCCAAUCAGCAUCCAGCUGGCCAGAUCAGGCUCAGAUGAUUGGCCGAUGAGAACUCUGUGAAGCUUUUUACUGUAAACCCAAUGAAAAUCAAUAAAUGUUUGUUAUUAUGACUAUC